rnacentral:lncRNA from 1 species
UACUAGACAUUAUCCCACGCUAGGGGGGCUGGCGCGGCCUCGUGUCUAGUGGGCACCAGGGGGGCCCUCUGGUGGUUCUUUGCUCCAGUAUUUCUCUUUUCCUGCAAAAAAAAUCGCCAAAAAGUUUCGUCCAAUUCCGAAAACUUUUAUUUCUGCACAAAAAACAACACCACGGUAGUUGUGCUGAAAACAACGUCAGUCCGAGUUAGUUUUAAAUAGAUCAUAUAAAGUGCAGCAAAAACGUAUAAAAAUAUUGUAAACAUAGACAAACAUGGCAUGACUACUUCAUAAAUUAUUGAUACGUUGGAGACGUAUCACCCUUCCGUGGUCGAACCAUAAUAGCAGCAUGUGCUCUGAACCGAGUGCUACAUGUAAAUAGUUAGCAGCAACACACGUGAUAUACCCAACUGUGACGGUAAAGUUAGAGGGAACAACUAGUGGAGCCCACUUAUGAACAACGUUGGGCUAAUCACACGCGGUGUAGGUAAAACGGUAGUAGUAGUGCUGUGUGCGCACCCCGUGCUAGUGACAAGAAAAAUAAAAAAAAGGAAAAGAAAAGAAAAUGAAAUGAAAAGUAAAAAAAGAAAGUUAAUUAAAAUAAAAAUAAAAAUAAACAAAAGAAAAAAUAAAAAAUAAAAAAUAAAAUAAUAACCUAGCUUGAAAGUAAUGAAAAAGAAAAAGGAAAGGAAAAAUAAUAAAAAGAAAAAGGAAACAAAAGAAAAAAGGAAAAAAAGGAAAAAAGGAAAAGGAAAACAAAAGAUAAAAGAAAAAGAGAAAUAAUAAAAAGAAAAGGAAAAAAGAAAAAAGAAAAGAAAAGAGAAAACAAAAGGAAUAAGAAAACAAAAGAAAAAUAAAAAAAGGAAAGAAAAAAGAUAAAAAAGAC